UACAGCGAUAUCACGUUGAAAUCACGUUCUCGUACGAUCAUCGAAGUUAAGCAACGUCAAGCCUGGUCAGUACCUAGAUGAGUAACCGUUUGCGAAUACCCAGUGCAGUA